rnacentral:rRNA from 1 species
UAGGGAAUCUUCCGCAAUGGGCGAAAGCCUGACGGAGCAACGCCGCGUGAGUGAUGAAGGUCUUAGGAUCGUAAAACUCUGUUAUUAGGGAAGAACAAACGUGUAAGUAACUGUGCACGUCUUGACGGUACCUAAUCAGAAAGCCACGGCUAACUACGUGCCAGCAGCCGCGGUAAUACGUAGGUGGCAAGCGUUAUCCGGAAUUAUUGGGCGUAAAGCGCGCGUAGGCGGUUUUUUAAGUCUGAUGUGAAAGUCCACGGCUCAACCGUGGAGGGUCAUUGGAAACUGGAAAACUUGAGUGCAGAAGAGGAAAGUGGAAUUCCAUGUGUAGCGGUGAAAUGCGCAGAGAUAUGGAGGAACACCAGUGGCGAAGGCGACUUUCUGGUCUGUAACUGACGCUGAUGUGCGAAAGCGUGGGGAUCAAACA